ACUUAUAUAGUUUAAAUAAAACAUUACAUUUUCAUUGUAAAAAUAAAGCUUAUUAUUUUUUAAGUA
rnacentral:tRNA from 1 species